AACGAACGCUGGCGGCAGGCUUAACACAUGCAAGUUGAACGCCCCGCAAGGAGGGUGGCAGUCGGGUGAGUAACGCGUGGAAAGCUACCCAUCUCUGCGGAAUAGCCCCGGGAAACCGGAAUUAUUACCGGCUACGCCCGCCAGAGGAGAGAUUUAUCGGGGAUGGAGGAGUCCGCGUUGGAUUAGCUAGUUGGUGGGGUAAAGGCCUACCAAGGCGACGAUCCAUAGCUGGUCUGAGAGGAUGAUCAGCCACAUUGGGACUGAGACACGGCCCAAACUCCUACGGGAGGCAGCAGUGGGGAAUAUUGGACAAUGGGCGCAAGCCUGAUCCAGCCAUGCCGCGUGAGUGAUGAAGGCCUUAGGGUUGUAAAGCUCUUUCACCGGUGAAGAUAAUGACGGUAACCGGAGAAGAAGCCCCGGCUAACUUCGUGCCAGCCGCCGCAGUAA
rnacentral:rRNA from 1 species